AGCGGCGAAAGGGAGAGUAACGCGUAGAUAUCUGCCUCGAGGCCCGGGAUAGCGGCGGGAAACUGCCGGUAAUACCGGAUAACAUCUCCGGAUCAAAGGUGUGAUUCCGCCUCGAGAUGAGUCUGCGUCCUAUUAAUGCUUGUUGGUGUGGUAACGGCGCACCAAGGCGAAGAUGGGUACCGGGUGUGAGAGCAUGGCCCGGCUCACUGGGACUGAGACACUGCCCAGACACCUACGGGUGGCUGCAGUCGAGAAUCUUCCGCAAUGGGCGAAAGCCUGACGGAGCGACGCCGCGUGCGGGAUGAAGGCCUUCGGGUUGUAAACCGCUGUCAGUUGGGAGGAAAUCUAUGGGGGUCAUCCCUCAUAGUUGACCUAUCUUCAGAGGAAGGACGGGCUAAGUUCGUGCCAGCAGCCGCGGUAAGACGAACCGUCCAAACGUUAUUCGGAAUUACUGGGCUUAAAGGGUGCGUAGGCGGCUUGGCAAGUUGGGUGUGAAAUCCCUCGGCUCAACCGAGGAACUGCGCUCAAAACUGCCAAGCUAGAGGAAGAUAGAGGUGAGCGGAACUAAUGGUGGAGCGGUGAAAUGCGUUGAUAUCAUUAGGAACACCUGUGGCGAAAGCGGCUCACUGGGUCUAA
rnacentral:rRNA from 1 species